GCGGCGGAGCCGCUGAGCCUGAGGCGUUUGAACGGCUGCUCUCCCGCCCGGGCGCUCACGGGCAGCGGCGGCUGCGUUGUGUCGCUGGGUGCCGGGGGCGGGACGAGACUAGCAGCUCAGGGCCCGGAUUGCGGCAGCUGGAGGAGGAGCCCGGGGCCAGGCGGUGUAGCAGCAGCAGCGGCGGCAGCAGCAGCGAGACGGCCUGAGCGAGCAGCCCACGGGACGAUGAUGGGGAAGGAGGAGGAGAUCGUGCGGAUCGCUAAGCGACUGGACAAGAUGGUGACCAAGAAAAGCACGGAUGGAGCUAUGGAUUUGCUAAAGGAACUGAAAAGCAUGCCCAUUACUUUGGAUUUGCUUCAGUCUACCCGGAUUGGGAUGUCUGUGAAUGCACUGAGGAAACAGAGUACUGAUGAUGAAGUUAUCUCACUUGCUAAAUCUCUCAUCAAGUCAUGGAAAAAACUGCUGGAUGCUUCAGAAGAUAAAAAUGAUGAGAAGAAAAGGAAUUCUUCCUUGGCAACAUCAUCUUCGAAGGAUGCUUCUGACACAAAAGAUCAAAGGAGUGACUCUCUUCUCCAUACCUCCAUCCCACGAAGAACACACAAUGAGGAAUGUAUACUGGAACUCUACCAGCAGCAUAGCUCCAACAAAAAACAAGACCCACCAAGGACUAUAUCCACUCCGAAAAUUACCACCUUUCCUCCUAUUCCCAUCACUUGUGAUGCUGUUCGUAACAAAUGUCGAGAAAUGCUGACAGCAGCCUUGCAGACAGACAAUGACCAUGUUGCGAUUGGUGCAGACUGUGAGCAUUUAUCUGCCCAGAUUGAAGAAUAUAUCUACCAAGAUGUCAAGAAUACAGAUAUGAAGUACAAAAACCGAGUAAGAAGCCGGAUCUCCAACUUAAAGGACUCUAAAAAUCCUGACUUGAGAAAGAAUGUUUUAUGUGGAGCAAUCACACCAGAACAGAUUGCCGUGAUGACCUCUGAGGAAAUGGCCAGUAAUGAACUAAAGGAGAUCAGGAAAGCCAUGACCAAGGAAGCCAUCCGUGAACACCAGAUGGCGAAGACAGGAGGCACCCAGACAGAUCUUUUUACCUGUGGAAAGUGCAAGAAAAAGAAUUGCACUUACACCCAGAUUGAAUGUCACAUGAUGAAGUGGCUAAUGCAACGAUAUCUUGAUAUGGCUUUGUUAUACUUACAACUUUUAUUCAAUCAAAUUUGAACCUGGUACUUGGGUGAGUCAUCUGAAACUUUUGAAAGGGAAAACCCUUUUCCCACCUCCCUCUUAGAGUUAGGUGGUUUCAUGCCAUCUUCCAUUCUAUUUAUUGAGCAUUUAUUAUACUUGAAAAAGACAAAAACAAGAUGAUCCCUGCCCUCAAGGAACUUGAGAGAUGGUGAAAAGAGCACUGGACUGGGAAUCAGGAGACCUGGGUUCUAGUCCUGGCUCUUCCACUAACUGGCUGUAUCACCUUGGGCAAGUCACUUAUUAUCUCAGGGCUUCAUUUUCCUCAUCUAUAAAAUGUGGAAGUUGGAUUAGCUGACUUCUAUGGUGCUUCCAGCUCUAAAAUAGUAUGAUUUUGUGAUUCAAGUUCUGUGGUUAUUUUCUCAGGUGAAACUCUUUAGUCUCAAGUAAACUGUGGUUCUUUGGUUGGGGGGUACAUGAAUGCCCCAUUGUUUCGAAGGUUGGGUGCACUGUAAUAGGAAUAGUGUUCAACCAGUAGGGGUGCACAUGGAAGAGUGAAGAUGCUGGCAGGGGAGGCUAGGACCUGCAGUAUGGCCUGCACAAGAGGCCAUGCUGAGCUCCCUGGUGCAGCGGCAGGAGGGGAGAGAGAGAGCCCUCGAACACGGAAGUGGAAGAUACUCGUGGUCAAGAGGUUGGGGGAGCUCAAGAGAACAUUUGGAUUCCAAAGAGAUGUUGGGAGGCCCUUGAAAGCACAAAGGUUCAGACUCGAAGCUCUGACGAGCCUAUGACCACCUUUGUUGUCUGCAAUGAAUGCGGAAACCGUUGGAAGGUAGG